AAUUUCUUUGUAUAUCUCAAACUGCAAAUCCAAUAAUCAGCCAGAAAAAAAAUCAUCUAUAGGGAAACACAUAUCAUAAAACCAAUUCAUUUUCCAGUAAAUGACUAAAUAUUCAUUACAAGAAGCAAUAUUUGUAAUAGUAGAAUAGCUAGUAAAAAUAAACAACAAACCAUUGGCAAGGCCAUCUAUUUUCAGUUAUACAGAUUACGUAUACAAACCAAGUCUUUCUUAUUCUUCUAGUCUCACAAUUGGAAGUUCCUUGUGUGAAAAAAUAAAAAGUUAAAAUUCUACUUUACAUACCUGAUCAGAA
rnacentral:misc_RNA from 1 species